rnacentral:rRNA from 1 species
AGCGAACGCUGGCGGCAGGCCUAACACAUGCAAGUCGAACGAAGUCUUCGGACUUAGUGGCGGACGGGUGAGUAACACGUGGGAACGUACCUUUUGGUUCGGAACAACUCAGGGAAACUUGAGCUAAUACCGGAUGAGCCCUUAGGGGGAAAGAUUUAUCGCCGAAAGAGCGGCCCGCGUUAGAUUAGCUAGUUGGUGAGGUAAAGGCUCACCAAGGCUACGAUCUAUAGCUGGUCUGAGAGGAUGAUCAGACACACUGGGACUGAGACACGGCCCAGACUCCUACGGGAGGCAGCAGUGGGGAAUCUUGCGCAAUGGGCGAAAGCCUGACGCAGCCAUGCCGCGUGAAUGAUGAAGGUCUCAGGAUUGUAAAAUUCUUUUACCAGGGACGAUAAUGACGGUACCUGGAGAAAAAGCCCCGGCUAACUUCGUGCCAGCCGCCGCCGUAAAAC